GACGAACGCUGGCGGCGUGCUUAACACAUGCAAGUCGAACGGAAAGGCCCUGCUUUUGUGUGGUGCUCGAGUGGCGAACGGGUGAGUAACACGUGAGUAACCUGCCCUGGACUGUGGGAUAACUUCAGGAAACUGGGGCUAAUACCGGAUAGGAGCUCCUGCUGCAUGGUGGGGGUUGGAAAGUUUCGGCGGUUGGGGAUGGACUCGCGGCUUAUCAGCUUGUUGGUGGGGUAGUGGCUUACCAAGGCUUUGACGGGUAGCCGGCCUGAGAGGGUGACCGGCCACAUUGGGACUGAGAUACGGACCAGACUCCUACGGGAGGCAGCAGUGGGGAAUCUUGCACAAUGGGCGGACGCGUGAUGCAGCAACGCCGCGUGCGGGAUGACGGCCUUCGGGUUGUAAACCGCUUUAGGCUGUGACGAAGCGUGAGUGACGGUAAUGGGUAAAGAAGCACCGGCUAACUACGUG
rnacentral:rRNA from 1 species